GUGGAUUAGGCAUGCAAGUCGAGCGAGAAGGGUCCUUUGCUUGCAUUGGACCUGGAAAGCGGCGAAAGGGAGAGUAACGCGUAGGGUACCUACCCCCAGGUCUGGGAUAGCGGCGGGAAACCGCCGGUAAUACUAGAUGAUGUCCCCGGACCAAAGGUGAGAUUCCGCCUGGGGAUGGUCCUGCGUCCUAUUAGCUUGUUGGUGAGGUAACGGCUCACCAAGGCAAAGAUGGGUAGCGGGCGUGAGAGCGUGGCCCGUCUCACUGGGACUGAGACACUGCCCAGACACNUACGGGUGGCUGCAGUCGAGAAUCUUCCGCAAUGGACGCAAGUCUGACGGAGCGACGCCGCGUGCGGGAUGAAGGCCUUCGGGUUGUAAACCGCUGUCAGUGGGGUGGAAAUCAUAUGGGGCAAUCUCCAUAUGUUGACCUAACCGCAGAGGAAGUCCGGGCUAAGUACGUGCCAGCAGCCGCGGUAAUACGUACCGGACGAACGUUAUUCGGAAUCACUGGGCUUAAAGAGUGCGUAGGCGGUCUAACAG
rnacentral:rRNA from 1 species